rnacentral:misc_RNA from 1 species
ACUUGCAAGUAUCAUCCAUGAAGUAUCAUUAUCAAGCAAAUACAGGAAGACAAUAAACUGGCAGAAAAAGUUCACGACCACUGAUUUUGCAGAUAGCCCUUCCAUGGACUUGUUUUUAUUCCAAAAUUGAAUAUCAUUCUUGAAUGCCAGGAAAUCAAAUAGUGAAUGCAUUACUGAAACAAUCAUAGUCACCCCCAGAAGGUAAGGAUUUCCUUCCAAAAACACUCUCUUUAGUUCAUCAGACUCUCCGUCGAGCAUGCUACCAUAACUACGAUGAAUUUGGAAAGACUGGUCCAUCUGCAGGAAUAGCUGCCAUUUUGUCAUGCUUAUGGGACUCACCUCUAGAUGCAGAGGCACCUCAGUUACUGUAUCAUUGAUAGCUAUUAGUUUAUCCCUAAGCAACCAAAACUCAUUGAAGAAAACAGUCGGAUAGUAGUUUCCUGUUGUAGAUUCAAUAUUGAUGUCUACCAAGUCAGGUCAAGGAAUUGAACAGUGUGAAAUUGUCUUCUGUGAACAAGAAGAGCAGACAAGGAUGCCAACUCACAGAUA